GAGGGAGCCCCUCCCUCUAAAAGCACUCUGUGUGGGGAACAUGAGAGCCAGACCAAAGCUCAGAGGAAGAGACGAGGAACUAAACGCAAACAUGAACCUGAACCCAGCUCUGUGUCCUUAAGGAGUGACCGGUUUAAUGGUCACAUCAUUGAUUUUAAAUCCCAGCCUGUGUCUGCUGCAGAGAGAGGUCAGAGGUCACAGUCUGCAGGAUCCAGCUGUCCGUCUGUGAGGAGUGACUGGUCCAAAGGUGACCCUCCAGACUUCAGUGGUGAACCUGGACCAACGAGAGGGAGGAAGAGGAGUGGCGUUUGUGAGGAGGAGCAGCUGUCUUGCUGUGCUUUGUG